rnacentral:misc_RNA from 1 species
GUGAAGAACGUAGUAAAAUGCGAUAAUUAAUGUGAAUUGCAGAAUUCAGUGAAUCAUCGAGUCUUUGAACGCACAUUGCGCCCCCUGGUAUUCCGGGGGGCAUGCCUGUCCGAGCGUCAUUGCUGCCCUCAAGCACGGCUUGUGUGUUGGGCUUCCGUCCCUGGCAACGGGGACGGGCCCAAAAGGCAGUGGCGGCACCAUGUCUGGUCCUCGAGCGUAUGGGGCUUUGUCACCCGCUCCCGUAGGUCCAGCUGGCAGCUAGCCUCGCAACCAAUCUUUUUAACCAGGUUGACCUCGGAUCAGGUAGGGAUACCCGCUGAACUUAAGCAUAUCAAUAAGCGGAGGA